UGACUCAGUUGGUAGAACAUGGCGCUUGCAACGCCAGGGUUGUGGGUUCAAUUCCCAC
rnacentral:tRNA from 1 species